GGAGCUGCUGAGCAUGUGCAGCAGCAGCAGCAGCUCCUGUGCGUAACUAACUCAGUCAGAAUCUCCUUCUCCUCUCUUAAAUUGGGAAUUUCGGACGAAGAUUGGUCAAGUAAUCUUACAAACUUGUCUUAUAAGAGGAACAAGAUGGCUGGAGCCUCAUGCCUCAUGAAGAGUCAUCCUUUAGCACUCAGGAGAGGAAAAAACCCCUUGUGGAGGAAACCUCUGGGGACCCAUGGCUGAAGGACUGCCCGUACCUCUAGGCAUUAAGAGACUAUGCAGAGUUUGCCCAGACCACCCGCCCACCUAUUAGCCUUGCCUAAUCCAGUCAUCCCUUCUGUCGCCUCAAAUCUGCUAUUUUGACCUAUUUACCCGGCAGGAGAAAAACGCACCUACACGUCAAUGGUGUGUCAGUUUUGGAAUUUGUAUCCAGAUUUUGUUUUUUCCCGAGUUGGUGGAUUUUUGGUUUAGUUUUC